rnacentral:rRNA from 1 species
CCCUUAGAUGUUCUGGGCUGCACGCGCGCUACACUGACGCACGCAACAGGUGCCUGCUCCGAGAGGACUGGGUAAUCAUUUGAGUGUGCGUCGUGAUGGGGAUAGAAUAUUGUAAUUAUUACUCUUCAACGAGGAAUUCCUAGUAAGCGCCAGUCAGCAGCUUGCGCUGAUUACGUCCCUGCCCUUUGUACACACCGCCCGUCGCUCCUACCGAUGGGGGAUCCGGUGAAUGAUUCGGACUUCAGCGGCUCCCCUGGGGUGCGCCGGAGAAAGUUUUGUGAACCUUAUCACUUGGAGGAAGGAGAAGUCGUAACA